UACGGAGGGUGCAAGCGUUGCUCGGAAUUAUUGGGCGUAAAGGGCAGGUAGGUGGUCUUAUUUGUCUGAGGUGAAAGCCUUGAGCUUAACUCAAGAAGUGCCUCAGGAACGGUAAGACUAGAGUUCUGGAGAGGGUCGUGGAAUUCCCGGUGUAGCGGUGAAAUGCGUAGAGAUCGGGAGGAACACCAGAGGCGAAGGCGGCGACCUGGACAGGUACUGACACUCAACUGCGAAAGCGUGGGGAGCAAACAGG
rnacentral:rRNA from 1 species